CAAAAAAACAACAACAGUAGCCCUAGGAAGCUUCAAGUACAGUGAACAUGCUAAACUAAUUUUAGUCUUAAAGAGCCAUCAUUUCCCAUCGCAGGAAAAACUUCCACAUAUAUCGCAAUGUAAAAUGACACCAUGAGCAAGACAUGAGGAAAUGUUAGUAUGCACUUGAUAGAGAUGUCUAAAAAAAGCUUUAGAUAAACCCCCUUUUAUGAACCUUUGAUCUGGGAAAGGAAUUUAUUUCGUGGCCAGAAUGAAGGAUUGACUUUUUCAUCGACCGCUCUUGUCUGACGCUCCCAUCAACUAGAUGACCAUUUAAUUAUGGGUCACAGUCCAUUGAGCCAUCCAAUGUGAGGUUGGAGGCCGAGCCAACAAGGGGACAAAAUCCAUAUGCCUACACAGUACCACAGCGUUCCCUGAGGGGGGGGGGGCAUUUCAUACAUCAGACACAAGCAUGAUAUGAUGUUUAAAACAUUUCCUGUGCAAAGUAGAGACCCCCUUAUAAUAAAUUUAGCAGGCUACAGAAAUUCAUAAUUCAGCCUGAAGAUUAGUAACAAUAAAAAGAUUUAUCUAUCGAGUUUUUUUCUUGUAUUUAUUUUACUCAUUGAGGCUCAAUCGGAUUACCCAUAUUGCAAGUACAGGCCUUCUAAGACCGAUGCCUAGAGAAUAUUAGCAGAGUUUCAGAUUUAAUAUGUAUUAUUUGUCAACUAAGGGAAAUAACCUCUGAUUUAAUGAUUCACAUCAGCAUUGUCUCUCUCUACUUAAAAAAAAAGAGGUAUAUGAUACACUUGAUACAUUUCACAAAGAGAGAUACUACCAUACAUUUUGACCAACUGAUGUGAUGCUAACUAUCCUAUUUAAAAAACAAAUCCUAUUUAACCUGUGGCACCAACAAGCAAAGUUUGUUAGGAAUGUUGGCAGGCUGACAGCUCAUGCAAUUAUUUGACAAGUCAGCCUCAUUCACUGCUAAGCUAUACCAAACUAUGGGCUGCGGGCAACAUCUCGCACAUGAUUGGAAGUGCCCUUCAAAAUGUACACCCACAAUAAAAUUGUUAGGGCUUGAACUCAAAGAUUGUUUUUGUGAUGAUGUGACCCAAGAACUUUGUCACAACUAUAUUUGACAUUAAAAAGUUGGGCAUCAGGUGCUGUAGAGAAACAUUAUAGUGAAGAGCAUUAUAGCAAUGUAUAUAAGAACCUUGACUCAAUGCAACAUUUUACAAUAGCCAGAAAAAGCCUUGAAUUCUAUUUACACUUAUUUAGUUCAAAGACUGGUCCAUAAACACCAUGUACAUGAAGGUUCUCAGCACAAGUCAUGGAAUAUAUUUUACCAGACAUUAAAUUGAAGCCUUGAAAUCUUUAAAGAAAAGUUUUCUAUAAUCCAAUGUAAUAGUUCUAAAAAAAUAAAACUGAAAAAACAGGUCUCACGAUAGUGUCAGUAAUAUCAAAGUAAACCAAACUAAUAUCAAUGUUUAUUACUUCAUGCAAUGCUGAAGCACAUUACUCUGUCAAUAGCACUGCAGCUCGUUCUGAAAGUCACAAACACAUUCCAAACAAUAACAAAUACAUUCACACCUAAUCCAGCAAAGGUAAAUACAUCCAUGCACACACACACACACACUACAUGUAUACAUGUGAUCACAAGGUUAUAUCAAACGUCCAAAUAAAUACUCUCCUACAGACACACAGUGAUCUAUUUAUACUAUGUGACCAACCUGACAGCAGCUCUGUACCAGAUGAACUAAUAACCUCCAGAUUGUUACCAGUUAGAGAAACAGUGAAGCAAGAUAUUGAUAAAUGCAAUUUUAAAUGACAUAUAUAUAUUUCUAGUUAACAUCAUACAAAUGCCUGAUUUGGUAAUUGACCUUUACUAUAGUAGGAGUACUUUUGUUGUGGUCAGAUGCCCAAAUAAGCAUUGUUAGUUUUGGAAUGGACUGUAUUUAAUUGGUGAUUUGACUAAUGCUGACUAAUCCCAAGUAAAACCCACAGAUCACAGGAUGGAAGUGAGAGCUUGAUGAUUUCUAGAUCCAACUAAAAGUCAAGUAAAUAAAAAAGAUCUCAUGACUAACAUAUUCAACAUUAACUAUCAUUACACUCAAAGUAGUUCUUCUAGACAAGAGGCUUAAUGAGCCAGGACAUGUUACUCUCCCUUUAUGAUUUAUUCCAGCAUUGUAAAUUAACCCAUUCAGUACCAGCCCCUUUAAAGUUUAGUCCUAGUCAAAGGGAUAGAGUUCCGCAAGAAAACUAAGGGGGUUUGCAAAAACAUCAAUGAAAAAUCUAUUUCCAAAGAUAAUAUAAUAAAUACAACUGCAAUAUAAUCAGCAUUAAUUACUCUAUAUGUCUAAAAACUUUGUGUUUUUAUAUAGAAAUCUUCAAUCAGCACAUAUGACAAAGUGCGAGAUCAGGGGUUCUCAGCCUGUGGGUCGCGACCCAUUUGGGGGUCGAUUGAUGAUUUGCCAGGGGUCGCCUAAGACCAUCGAAAAUAUGGAUUGUUAUUGUCUUAUCUUCU